ACUAUUUAAAUCAAGACAUUAAAUGCUUGGGGAAUGUUUUUGAUACUGAUCAAUACAAUUAUAACAUCUUGUCAAAACUUGACACUAACAGGGAACACAUGUAAUGAUAUGGUAUUAACCUUUAAAAUAAAGUUGAAAUACUUUACAAUGAUGAUUCUUGUAAUCUUUAUUGUUGUUAUUGUUGAAACUUUGAUAAUAUCGGAGAAAUUACUGAAACCAACUAUUUUUACUGACAAUUUUUUUAAUGAAUUUCUUCACAACAAAUUUGAUCUUUGUGUAAUAUCACAUUUUAAUUAUUAUUGAUUUUUACAAACUUGUACAAAUUAUUUUUUACUUUUCAUCAGCUGCAUAUUUUGUUUACAUGUCUAUAAACAGUAUUUCAAUGUGCCAAGAUUUUGUGUAUUAUAUUUGUUACUUUUCAUUAGCUGCAUAUUUUGUUUACACGUCUAUUAACAGUAUUACAACCAUGCCAACCUUUUGUGUAUCAUAUUUGUUACUUUAGCUGCAUAUUUUGUUAACACGUCUAUAUAAACAGUAUUACAACCGUGCCAACCUUUUUUGUAUUACUUUUUGUUACUUUUCAUUAGCUGCAUAUUUUGUUGACAAUUACAACAGUGCAAACCUUUUGUGUAUUAUAUUUGUUACUUUUCAUUAGCUGCAUAUUUUGUCCACACGUCUAUAAACAGUAUUACAACCGUGCCAAGGUUUUGUUAAUUAUAUUAAAUUUUUCAUCAGCUGCAUAAUAUUUUGUUUACACAUCUAUGAACAGUAUUACAACCAUGCCAAGGUUUUGUUUUAUUAUAUUUGUUACUUUUCACGAGCUGCAUAACAUUUUUUUCUUCAGCACUACCAUACCAAAGUGUAAUACAUGGUUGUAAUGAACAACUUUUUAUAUUAAUUGAUGUAGAUGUAUAUCAUUUGAAAAUGAAAGUAAUUGGUAGAUAGAAAUUUGUAAUGAAUUACAGUAAAUGUAUAAUACUUUUUCUAUGAAUUAUGUAGAAAGUUAAAAAGACAUUUGGGGUCAUACUGUUGAUUCACUGAAAUUUAAACAUUAUACACAUAUAUUUCUUGGAUUCCAAAGACAUUCUGUAAAGUUUUACCAGUGUCUAGCAUAAGUUUCAUUUUUCCUUAUAGUGAUCUGUAAGGUAUCUAAUGUUAUAAAACUGCAUUUUUAAUUAUUUUGUUCGUACAUUAUAAACAGUUUUCCAUUACAUGUUGCUUAUUUUAUAGUGUACCAAAGUAAUAUUUACUACAUAGGACUUUUUGAAUAAUAAUUAAUAUUUCUGUAUUUUUGAAUUAAAAACUAUGUAGUCAAAAUGAAAUUCUGUGGAUUUACAAAUAUGUACAGUUUACUCGGAUUUUUAUAUUGUACACUUUUCUAAGUUUAUUUACAUAAGUAAAGGUUUCUUUGUUGACAUCAGGCGUCCACAGAAUGUAUUGAGAAUCUGUAUAUAUAUAUAUGAUAUACACUUACCAUAAGUGAGAUUACUAAAUAAAGUUACAUUGUUAAAGCAUAUACAUUGUGUAUUGUUUUCUUGCAUGAUCAUAUAGGCUUUGUGCCAUAAUCUGUCUGUUCCAGGAAACAGAAUGAGUUAAAACAUCACUUGAAUAUUUAACGCAAGUACAAUAAUCAUGCUCUGUAGCAAGCAGUUGCUAUCUUAACGUCCAGCAAACUUAUAAUUGAAGUAAUUGAAAAUAGAUCUACCCCGGAAUUCAAAAUCUACCCAUAAUGGAAGUAUCUGGGCUGCCCAUUUGAAACCCAUAUUUAGUACAAGGGCUGCCCAUAUGGGACCCAUGUGGGGCCCAUAUUGUGUACAUGGGCUGCCCAGAUGGGGCCCAUGUGAAUCCCAUAUUGAGUAUAAGGGCUGCCCAGAUGGGACCCAUUUGGAACCCGGUUGCACUUCCUAUAUGGGGCCCAUAUGGGCAGCCCAAAUGGGACCCAUAUAGGUGCCCAUAUGGGCCCCACAUGGGUCCCAUAUAGAAUGCUAUCUGGGACAGUACUUU